rnacentral:rRNA from 1 species
UACGAAGGGGGCUAGCGUUGCUCGGAAUUACUGGGCGUAAAGCGCGUGUAGGCGGUUGUUCAAGUCAGGUGUGAAAGCCUUGAGCUCAACCCGAGAACUGCAUUGCAAACCGGCCUGGCUAGAGUGCAGGAGAGGGAAGCGGAAUUCCAGGUGUAGCGGUGAAAUGCGUAGAUAUCUGGAGGAACACCUAUGGCGAAGGCAGCUCUCUGGGACGGUACUGACGCUGAUGCACGAAAGCGUGGGGAGCAAACAGG